AGGAUGCAGAAAUUCAGAGAAUAUAUGAUGGUUUUAAUGUGCCUUUUUCUCAGUGUGCAACAUUUGAUAGAGAAUUGCUGGAAAUUGUAGAUGCUGUUGAACAAAUGGAUUUUGCAAAAAUCAACAAUACCGCUGUUAAUUAAAUAUUUCCUGACCGUACUAAUUUGACAAGCCCCUGUGUAAGCAGAUUGGAGAUGCAGACACCAAAGAGACAUCGUAAAACAGAUCUAACAUUAAAACCUAAAACAACCGUUGUUACGGCAAUAGUUCACAAUCAACCAGUAAAUAAGGCUCCCAAUGAACGUGUAAAACAAGCAUUAAAAGCUUCUACUACUGUCUCAUCAUGUUCCAGAAGUAAACAAUCGCAACCCAUUUCAUCUGUGGCUUCUAGAAAAUCUAUACCUGUAGAAGACGACAUAACCACCAUUGUUGAUGAUAAAAAGUAUCCCACUGCAGUAGCCACUCAUUGCAGAGCCAAGGGUUUUUCUAACAAUCCAAAAAACUCUUUGAAUGCUGUACAAUUACCAGGAUUGGGACAGAAAACACACCACACAAACAUAACUAAGAAAUCAAGUGUUAAAAGAAAACCUAGUGGUGAGAAUAAUGUUCAAAAUACAAAAAAAAGAACUCUACUCAAAAAUUCUGGUAAUAUCUUAAAACCUGUUGUUCCACUGCAGGAUAUCACAAACACAGUAAAAAACAACACAUGUUUAAGCUUAGGGGUUCCACGGAUAUGUAGUUCAAGGUGUGAGAGCUUAGAAGCAGUUAUUCAAAAAGAAAUUACUAUUUACAAUCUUCUAGAGACUAUCAACAGUAUUCUAAAGACCAGUAAUCUAUAUUUUCAACAGACACCCAUGACCAAUUGACUAUACCUGGUUGGAUGGGGGAUUCGACGUAGUAGGGGGCGACAGUGGUCGCUAAGAAGACAGUAUAGAGAUAGAGCUGUCAGAAAAGCAAUACAGAUAUUACGGCGUGUUGACCGACUACGGCAUAGUGUGUUAUCCAGGGAGCUGGGUAACCAAGCACUAAAUAUGCAGCAAAAUUCAGAUAGGUAUCAUGUAUCUCAGGGCACAACUCCUGUAUCAGACACAAUUACCCCACCAAUCAGAAAUUGUAGAUUGCCAAUCACCCCCCUGAGCCAGAGCUUCAACAUUAAUGCUGGACAGCAUCAAAGUAAUCCACCUGGCAUUUAGAACUCAUAGAUGGGUACCAAAGAAACAUUAAUUGUUUUGGUGCUGUUAUGUAUUAUGAGCAUUUCAGGUUUGUAAACCUAGAUAAGUUAAGAUUGUUUGAUUCAGCAGUACAGGGCGUGCAUGAAGCUGUACAAACAGUUCUACAUAAUUUGCAAUCUGAAGUAAGACCUGGCGACCUAGUUCAGUUAAGAUUUGAAGGUGAUGGAUUUGACAGGCCUUUAUAUGCCUUAAGAAGGGGCAUGGAUGGUCUAGAUGCUGAGUCUUUUUUAAACAAUGUUUCUGGUUUGUUGCAAAGAAAUGCCGAGUGUAUAAGUAGUGGUUGUUUAAGACUUGUGAUCAUAAUUCUUAGAAACAGGGCUGGUGGUGUUAUGAAAUGUAGGAAGAUACGUUCAACUACAUAUAGUUCACUCAUAAACACAAAAAGACGUUGGCUAUUUAAUUUUAACAACUAUGACUCUAACUUGUGUUUGGCUGCUAGUCUCAAAGCCCUUUUAGAUGAACAAUGUGACAUUACUGAUUCAGAACUAAUAGUACAAGCCAGAGAGAUGCACAAAACACUGUGCAUACCUGAUGAACAUCUUGUUAAUUUUAGUGACCUUCAGGCUUUUGAAAAGCUCUUGAAUGUCACUAUUAAAAUACUUUAUCAUAAUCAGGGUUCUUGGCAGCAUUUUUAUACUGAUGGACCCUGUAAGGAUAAAGUGCUCUUUGGUUUGCAUCACAAUGAGCACUAUUACGGCAUUAAAAACAUCAAAGCUUUUAUAGGUCAUGAUUAUUUUUGUCAGUAUUGCCAUUCUAUUUUUCACCACAAGAAUAAUCACUUGUGUAAAUAUUUUUGCAGAACAUGUCAGAUAGAAUUGUGUUGAGGUUAAAGAUGAAAUAUGUAGAUUUCUUGGUUGUCGUUUGGUUUGUCGCUCAGUUGAGUGUUUGGCUUUGCAUAUUGCUUUUGCACAAGAGGGUAAGGUAGAGUGUCAUAGCAAAGUGUAUUGUGACGUGUGUUGUGCAUAAGUUAGGAAAGAUGGUCAUGACUGUACACCCCCAACAUGUAGCAUAUGCCAUGAUGAAAUUGACAUUUUUGACACACAUCACUGUUACAUGACGCCAUACAAACCACCAAAAAAAGAGACUGAUUACAUUGUUUAUGAUUUUGAAUGUAUACAGGAAACGGGUGUUCAUAUACCUAAUUACGUUUAUGCUAAAAAGUUAGAUGAUUCAAAGUCAUGGGAGUUUCAGGGAUCUGAUUGUUUGAAGGAUUUUGUGAACCAUUUUGUUACAACGAAAUUCCAGUCUGUUACAUUUAUAGCACAUAACGGUGGUAGAUAUGUUCCUAUUUAGUGGUUCACAGUGCCUGACUUAAACAUCCGUUUUAUAGAUUCUCUAAAUUUUCUACCAAUGCAACUCGGCAAACUGCCAAAAGCCCUAGGUUUUAAAGAAUCUAAAGGCCAUUUUCCUCAUUUUUCUCUUGUAAGAUGUAUCGAGUCCACGGAUUCAUCCUUACUUGUGGGAUAUUCUCCUCCUUCCCUACAGGAAGUGGCAGAGCACCCACAGCAGAGCUGUCUAUAUAGCUCCACCCACCAGUCAUUCUCUCUGCCUGCUUAACUGCUAGGAAGGGCAAAGAGCUAUGUGGUGACUAAAAUGUUAGUUUUUUACUUCUCAAGCAAAAGUUUAUUAUUUUAAAUGGUACCGGUGUGUACUAUUUACUCUCUGGCAGAAAAGGGAUGAAGAUUUCUGCAAGGAGGAUGAUGAUCUUAGCACUUUGUAACUAAGAUCCACUGCUUUUCUCACAAGGCCUGAAGAGUAUUGGAAAACUUCAGUUGGGAGAACAGUUUGCAGGCUAAGCUGCAUAUGAGGUAUGUUCAGUCUAUAUUUUUCUAGACAGACUGUGUUAAAUCUAGAAAAGGCUGGCAAUAUCCCCAUGAGGGAAGGGUAGCUGUAUUCAGAUACUUUAAUAGGAGUUUCAGCUUGCUUGAAGCGCUCAUUAGUUACUGGUGACACUGUUAGGAAAAAAACGUUUUGUUUUUUGAUGCAUUUAUAACGUUUUUUGAAGGGACUAAAGGGGUCAUUGUGGCUUAGUUUUGUAACUCAUAUGGUUAAUUAAGAGACACUCUGGUGUUUCUCUGAUAGGCCUCAAAAUAUUGAGUGAGGUGGGAGGGGCCUAUUUUCGUGCCUCAGUUGCGCAGUUUCCUUUCCUUUGAGACAUAUCACUGCUUCUCCUGUCGUUUCUGCUAUGUUUGAGGGUUGUUAAAGAAGUUGUUUCCCCCACAAAUCGUUCUGAAGGGCAGGAAGGAGCCACAGCAGAGCUGUGGCAUGGUGCUGAAAGUCUUUUUUUACUGGGUUUAACAUUUUUUCAAUCCGUUUUUGCCAUUAAAGGGUUAAUUGUUUAUUUGCAUUGCUGUGCAAAGUUACUAAGCCUUUAUAAUGCUACUGUAAAAAAUUAGUUAAGUUUACUGCUUUUUUUCUCUUAAAGGCACAGUACCGUUUUAUUUCUAAGUGUUUUUUACUUUGAUUACAGUGUUUUCCAAGCUUGCUUGUUACAUUACUAGCCUGUUUAACAUGUCUGACACCAAGGAAAAUCCUUGUUUAAUAUGUUUGGAAGCCAUUGUGGAACCCCCUCUUAGAAUGUGUCCCAAUUGUACUGAUAUGUCUAUAAACUAUAAAGAACAUAUAUUAGCACUUAAAAAUAGAGCAAUAGAUGAUUCUCAGUCAGAAGUAAAUGAGGGUUCGCCAUCUAGCUCUCCCCAAGUGUCACAACCAGUAACGCCCGCACAAGUGACGCCAAGUACCUCUAGUGCGUCAAAUUCUUUUACUUUACAAGACAUGGCCACAGUUAUGAAUACAACGCUCACAGAGGUUUUAUCUAAACUGCCUGGUUUACAAGGAUAGCGGGACAGCUCUGGGUUUAGAAAAAAUGCUGAGCCGUCUGACACUUCAGUAGCCGUAUCUGAUAUGCCCUGAAGUAGGGGUGAGGGAUUUGUUAUCUGAGGGAGAAAUUUCGGAUUCAGGAAAGACGCUUCCUCCGACCGAUACUGAUAAGACGGCCUUUAAAUUUAAGCUUGAACACCUCCGCUUAUUGCUCAGGGAGGUAUUAGCGACUCUAGAUGAUUGUGACCCUAUAGUGGUUCCAGAGAAAUUGUGUA